rnacentral:rRNA from 1 species
AAAGACGGUCUUGCUGUCACUUAUAGAUGGAUCCGCGCUGCAUUAGCUAGUUGGUAAGGUAACGGCUUACCAAGGCAACGAUGCAUAGCCGACCUGAGAGGGUGAUCGGCCACACUGGAACUGAGACACGGUCCAGACUCCUACGGGAGGCAGCAGUAGGGAAUCUUCCGCAAUGGGCGAAAGCCUGACGGAGCAACGCCGCGUGAGUGAUGAAGGUCUUCGGAUCGUAAAACUCUGUUAUUAGGGAAGAACAUAUGUGUAAGUAACUGUGCACAUCUUGACGGUACCUAAUCAGAAAGCCACGGCUAACUACGUGCCAGCAGUCGCGGUAAUACGUAGGUGGCAAGCGUUAUCCGGAAUUAUUGGGCGUAAAGCGCGCGUAGGCGGUUUUUUAAGUCUGAUGUGAAAGCCCACGGCUCAACCGUGGAGGGUCAUUGGAAACUGGAAAACUUGAGUGCAGAAGAGGAAAGUGGAAUUCCAUGUGUAGCGGUGAAAUGCGCAGAGAUAUGGAGGAACACCAGUGGCGAAGGCGACUUUCUGGUCUGUAACUGACGCUGAUGUGCGAAAGCGUGGGGAUCAAACAGGAUUAGAUACCCUGGUAGUCCACGCCGUAAACGAUGAGUGCUAAGUGUUAGGGGGUUUCCGCCCCUUAGUGCUGCAGCUAACGCAUUAAGCACUCCGCCUGGGGAGUACGACCGCAAGGUUGAAACUCAAAGGAAUUGACGGGGACCCGCACAAGCGGUGGAGCAUGUGGUUUAAUUCGAAGCAACGCGAAGAACCUUACCAAAUCUUGACAUCCUUUGACAACUCUAGAGAUAGAGCUUUCCCCUUCGGGGGACAAAGUGACAGGUGGUGCAUGGUUGUCGUCAGCUCGUGUCGUGAGAUGUUGGGUUAAGUCCCGCAACGAGCGCAACCCUUAAGCUUAGUUGCCAUCAUUAAGUUGGGCACUCUAAGUUGACUGCCGGUGACAAACCGGAGGAAGGUGGGGAUGACGUCAAAUCAUCAUGCCCCUUAUGAUUUGGGCUACACACGUGCUACAAUGGACAAUACAAAGGGCAGCGAAACCGUGAGGUCAAGCAAAUCCCAUAAAGUUGUUCUCAGUUCGGAUUGUAGUCUGCAACUCGACUACAUGAAGCUGGAAUCGCUAGUAAUCGUAGAUCAGCAUGCUACGGUGAAUACGUUCCCGGGUCUUGUACACACCGCCCGUCACACCACGAGAGUUUGUAACACCCGAAGCCGGUGGAGUAACCUUUUAGGAGCUAGCCGUCGAAGGUGGGACAAAUGAUUGGGGUGAAGUCGUAACAAGGUAGCCGUAUCGGAAGGUGCGGCUGGAUCACCU